rnacentral:rRNA from 1 species
CGCACGGGUGAGUAACGCGUAUCCAACCUGCCGUCUACUCUUGGACAGCCUUCUGAAAGGAAGAUUAAUACAAGAUGGCAUCAUGAGUCCGCAUGUUCACAUGAUUAAAGGUAUUCCGGUAGACGAUGGGGAUGCGUUCCAUUAGAUAGUAGGCGGGGUAACGGCCCACCUAGCCUUCGAUGGAUAGGGGUUCUGAGAGGAAGGUCCCCCACAUUGGAACUGAGACACGGUCCAA